ACGAAUUGUUCUAUUGCGAAAUAACGAUAAGUUUCUAUUUCAUCUAUUUCUAAAUGAGUUAUUAUUUUCUGUAAAUCGUUAAAACGUGAACUUAGUAUUAAUUGGUUAUCGGCUAGUAUUUUGGAAUUGUUUUCAAAGUUGUUACGGAUGAGGAGGGGGGUACUUCAUCUUGAAUAAGAGAUUUCAACUUGUUCUGAUUGUUAAAUAAGAUGUAAUAGCUUCAUCGCAACGUUUUGCACCAUUGUGGUCUAAAUUUCCGGUUAUAAUCUUUAUUGCAGAUCGUAAUCCGUCGAAUAAGGAUCUUUUUGAUCGAUUAUCCCAAAAUGGAUUUAAAUGUUUCAAAUAUUUUAUGUUCAAUUAGUUUUGUAAUGUGAUAAGAGUUUUGAAAAUGAGUAGUGAAAUUACAAAAUUACAAAAUUUAGGAGAUCUUGGUAAUAAUUUAUAGAGAUUAUUAUACUGCUAUUUUCAGGUAGAGCUGGGAGUUCUGUUGGGAGAACUGUUUUAUUAUUAAACUCGGUGCCUUUAUCAACUAUUAUCAAUUGAGGAAUGCCAAAGAAACGAAAUAUUUUAUAAUUGCUUCACUUAUAAUUACUGUGGGUUUUCCUGAAAUGAAUAUCACCUGUGCAAAUUUUGUAAAAGCAUCAGUUAAAGUUAAAUAAUUCUUUCCAUCAAAACAAAAAACAUACAUAUGAAUAAUUUGGAAGGGUUUGGUGGCUGUUUCAGUCAACAUAAGAGGCACAUAACAAUUAUGUCUUGAAUAUUCAUUUUUAUGACAAUUACUACAAUUGUUAAUAUAGUUUGUGAUUUUGUUUUCCAUAUUUUUCAAAUAAUUAAGUUAACGUAAUUGUUCUAAGGUCUCAUGAGUUCCUCUGUGAUUAUUUUUACCUCCA